UGGGGAAUAUUGCACAAUGGGCGAAAGCCUGAUGCAGCGACGCCGCGUGAGGGAUGACGGCCUUCGGGUUGUAAACCUCUUUCAGCAGGGACGAAGCGAGAGUGACGGUACCUGCAGAAGAAGCACCGGCCAACUACGUGCCAGCAGCCGCGGUAAUACGUAGGGUGCAAGCGUUGUCCGGAAUUACUGGGCGUAAAGAGCUCGUAGGCGGUUUGUCGCGUCGUCUGUGAAAACUCGAGGCUCAACCUCGAGCUUGCAGGCGAUACGGGCAGACUUGAGUACUGCAGGGGAGACUGGAAUUCCUGGUGUAGCGGUGAAAUGCGCAGAUAUCAGGAGGAACACCGGUGGCGAAGGCGGGUCUCUGGGCAGUAACUGACGCUGAGGAGCGAAAGCGUGGGUAGCGAACAGGAUUAGAUACCCGCGUAGUCC
rnacentral:rRNA from 1 species